CAGUAGCCGCGGGAAUACAGAGGGUGCGAGCGUUAAUCGGAUUUACUGGGCGUAAAGCGUGCGUAGGCGGCUUCUUAAGUCGGAUGUGAAAUCCCUGAGCUUAACUUAGGAAUUGCAUUCGAUACUGGGAAGCUAGAGUUUGGGAGAGGAUGGUAGAAUUCCAGGUGUAGCGGUGAAAUGCGUAGAGAUCUGGAGGAAUACCGAUGGCGAAGGCAGCCAUCUGGCCUAAUACUGACGCUGAGGUACGAAAGCAUGGGGAGCAAACAGGAUUAGAGACCCGAGUAGUCCCUGUCUCUUAUAC
rnacentral:rRNA from 1 species